CUCACCCCGAGGGUGGCGAGAAAACCACCCCAAAUACAGCUGGGGCACACCUGAGGCUGGGCUGGAUCUGGGAUUUCCCACUGUAGGGACCAGAACAAUAGCUUCGCUGGCACAGAUGUGGGACGGGUGACUGAGCGGAAGAAAUGACUGCACACAGCCCCACAGCUUCCGUGUCCCCCGGGGUGGGUGUGGAUCAUGCCUGCCGUGCACCACGAAACAGACCUCGCUGUUCCCAGGAGGUAUGAGACCAGGAUGAGAUGAUGUGCUUCCUAAGAAAAAGUGACUGGAUUUGUUCUGGGCUUCCUGUGGGAUUCUGGGGGAAAAUGAAAAGGCUUUGCUGCUUUGCUGCUUUAUGAGGGCUGGCAUCCUGGCAGCACCUGGGACUUUGGCUUCAUUUCUUAAGCAGACCCUUGGUCCCUUGGAGAAGGUCAGCAGCAAGGAGCCUUCUCUGGCUGGCUUUUCUGUGCAGACACAAGGCAAGUGGCCAGCUACUGGUGUGAUGCCUACGUAGCACCAGACCAUUGAGAUGUGGCACAGGAUUCCUGAGGUGAUGGGCUGAAUCGCGAGAGUGGAGUGGUGCUGGAUGGUGAGAGGCUUUCUCUGCUUAUACAGCUAAUAGACUAAUGAGCAAGGAGUUUGAAACUUGGCUGUGUUUGUUGUCAAAUGCAGGCCCCUUUCCAAGUGGUGUUAACAGCCUUCCCUUUUCACUCUGCG
rnacentral:lncRNA from 1 species